rnacentral:rRNA from 1 species
AUUGAACGCUGGCGGCAGGCUUAACACAUGCAAGUCGAGCGGAGAUGAGGUGCUUGCACCUUAUCUUAGCGGCGGACGGGUGAGUAAUGCUUAGGAAUCUGCCUAUUAGUGGGGGACAACAUUCCGAAAGGAAUGCUAAUACCGCAUACGCCCUACGGGGGAAAGCAGGGGAUCUUCGGACCUUGCGCUAAUAGAUGAGCCUAAGUCGGAUUAGCUAGUUGGUGGGGUAAAGGCCUACCAAGGCGACGAUCUGUAGCGGGGCCAGGAGGAUGAUCCGCCACAAUGGGACUGAGACACGGCCCAGACUCCUACGGGAGGAAGCAGUGGGGAAUAUUGGACAAUGGGCGGAAGCCUGAUCCAGCCAUGCCGCGUGUGUGAAGAAGGCCUUUUGGUUGUAAAGCACUUUAAGCGAGGAGGAGGCUACCUGGAUUAAUACCCUAGAUGCGUGGACGUUACUCGCAGAAUAAGCACCGGCUAACUCUGUGCCAGCCGCCGCGGUAACAC